UACGUAGGGGGCAAGCGUUGUCCGGAUUUAUUGGGCGUAAAGAGCGUGUAGGCGGUCUGGUAGGUCCGUUGUGAAAACUCGAGGCUCAACCUCGAGACGCCGAUGGAAACCCUCAGACUAGAGUCCGGAAGAGGAGAGUGGAAUUCCCGGUGUAGCGGUGAAAUGCGCAGAUAUCGGGAAGAACACCCGUGGCGAAGGCGUCUCUCUGGGACGGUACUGACGCUGAGACGCGAAAGCGUGGGGAGCGAACAGG
rnacentral:rRNA from 1 species